ACAGCAUCCAACACAUUGACCCUAUCCACUGGAGAAAGGGUUUUAGACCGGACUGCAUGAACUCAUUUCACAACUCCUCAGAACAAAGCACCUUUAAGAAGCUGUCUCUCUGUGGUCGUGGAGACAGCGCUCCUUCUUGAAAUGUGUUGGAUGAAGGUAGUUUGGGUCAGCCAUGAUAACCCAACAAAGUUAAAUGCCUUGUGCAAGUGGAACCUCGUCAGGAGCCAGCAACUUGAGGAAAGGAGGAGGAGGGAAACUAGAAGCAGCUCUGGCAGUCCCCCUGCUCGCAACUAGAAGAUUUCGGACCAGUUUAAUUGAAUCUCCUUCAACCAUUCGUGAUCUAGAAGGCUUGGUUCUUCACCUUCUACCGCCAUUACUGGUAACUGUGCCGAUUGGUGUCUAUAAUGACAUUUACUGUGUACGUUUUCAACCUGGCAGAUGUUUGUUCCAAAUUUAAUUG